GAAGAUACUACUCCUGGAAUCCAGCCGCCAUAUUGCCAGGAAGCCCAAGCUAGCCCAUGCGGAGAGACCACAUGGAGAGGCCACCUCUGGAGGUCAGAAGUUCUGCAAUCAAGGAGUCGCCAGCUCUGUGUUCCUUGGGGAGGCUCUCAGGGAAGAUCCAGUCCCCUCUUUUUUCAGCCACUAGGAGCACCCACGUUCCUUGGCUACUGACGACUCUUGCUUACCAAAUGCAGGCGAAGCUGUUCAGAAGUACAGCGCAUCGCUGGAAGAUAAGGAAUGGAUCUUCUGUUGGCAGCAUGGAACUGGACCUGGAUGACAUCAACAUUUGCCAAUAAAUCAUUUGGACACAUUCUGUCUGCCUGGAGACAUUCUGGAAGCACAUGCAGGAGAGCCUUGUGUGCCAUCUGGCUGCAGUUGGGAAAGGCGAACCUCCCCCGUUUUUGAUACUCUUUUUGAACCUUCCCAGUCCACAGAACCCAGUUCCCACAUUUUGGGUGGCCAGAUUCUCCUCUUCUAUGAUGGGGAGGACUAAACGCCCUUCACCAACAUCCCUCUCAAAAAGCAUGGCCGGGAGACUUGCUUUCCUAUAUCCCUUUAAGAAUUUGGGGCUUGAUUUUCUCCACUCAGAGGAAGUUGUGAUUUAGAAAUUUCUGUCCCUCUGUGUCGAACACAUAAUUAAGAUGAUGGCCAAGAAAUCUGGUCCAAUUUUCCAAGUAAAAGCCUGGCCACCGAAUGCCCAGCUGUUGAUGAAGUUUCCAUUUCAGACAGAACUCUAGCCUUGCAAACAUUUGGCCCAUAAAAGAGUGGAUUUUCCCAUGGUCAAAUGAGUCACUGGGAAUAUUGACUCGUCUUUUAAAAAUCAGAGGUCACUUAAAAAAAUUGAGUUGAAAUGCAUGUAACAUAAAAUGAACGACUUUAAA
rnacentral:lncRNA from 10 species